rnacentral:rRNA from 1 species
AGUGAGCGCUGGCGGUAGGCCUAACACAUGCAAGUCGAACGGCAGCACAGUAAGAGCUUGCUCUUACGGGUGGCGAGUGGCGGACGGGUGAGGAAUACAUCGGAAUCUACUUUUUCGUGGGGGAUAACGUAGGGAAACUUACGCUAAUACCGCAUACGACCUACGGGUGAAAGCAGGGGAUCUUCGGACCUUGCGCGAUUGAAUGAGCCGAUGUCGGAUUAGCUAGUUGGCGGGGUAAAGGCCCACCAAGGCGACGAUCCGUAGCUGGUCUGAGAGGAUGAUCAGCCACACUGGAACUGAGACACGGUCCAGACUCCUACGGGAGGCAGCAGUGGGGAAUAUUGGACAAUGGGCGAAAGCCUGAUCCAGCCAUACCGCGUGGGUGAAGAAGGCCUUCGGGUUGUAAAGCCCUUUUGUUGGGAAAGAAAAGCAGCAGGUUAAUACCCCGCUGUUCUGACGGUACCCAAAGAAUAAGCACCGGCUAACUUCGUG